rnacentral:tRNA from 1 species
UAAGGCUUUAGCUUAAUUAAAGUGUCUGUUUUGCAUACAGAAGAUGUGGAGUAAUUUUCUGCAAGUCUUAU